rnacentral:lncRNA from 1 species
CAUAUGCACACACAUAUGCACACACACACACACACACACACACAUACAUAUGCACACACACACACACACACACACACACACACACUACAAAAACAGUACAGAACUGUGUUAACUUUCAACCCUUGACACGACCCAUUAAGUAAUGUAAAUUUAUGUCGUCGCUGUUAGUGAAAAAUUAUAUUUUUUGUAUAUAAAUCGAAUAUUAACAUUUACUCUAUGGUUGAUUCCAUUGAUUGAUUGAUAGUAAAAAUAUUGCUUCUCAUACUUUAAAGUCUAUGAAAAAAUCUAUUAAUGUUAUCCUUAACUUGAGAAUUACAUAAACAAACCAUCCAGGAGAGGUGUAGUGAUGUCAAGUAGAAUGUUGAGCAGCUUCACAACCUGGCCAUGGUGGAUGUCUUGAAUGGUGUCAUUAACUUUUCAGCCAGGGUAGAAGAGCUCUGUAUCAGAACAAGAUAAAAGAUUUCUUUGUAAACUAAAAAUCUCUAAUGUCAUUAUUGACGCUUAAUCUUCUCAGUCAAGGAAGAACGGUUGUGCACGAGUCUUCUGGUGCUGCGGUCGUCAGCUCUUGCCUUGGGUUAUACUUCAUCAAUUUUCCAUAAAUCUUAUAGUUCUUUGAAAUGUCUUGUAAGCUCUCGAUAGAAAACAUUGUUUUUAAAAUUCAGGGAAUAUAUUUUACACACUGAGAUACACAUACAUAUACGUUGUACACACAUGCGAUUUAUGUUUAAUAGAGUAGAUAUGUCAUAGACAAUUUUUUCUUUGAUUUAAAAAGAGUGAUACAUUUUUUGAUUAUAUCUGUAUUAAUUUAAGUUGACAAGAAUCCCUUGCAUUAGCAAAAGUGAAGAUCUGAUGCACUGUAAUAGUAAGGCUGUGAUCAUUAUAGGAAUCUGAAGUUUGGAGUUGAAAAUAGAAAAGCAAAGAAAAGGACUUGUAGAAAAGAUAGUUAAGUUCACUUAUGUGUACAGUAUAAAGGUUGUUAUGUGCACUGCUGUUGUGUUGUCAGAGAGCAGGAGGUAGUGAGGGCAGGAGGUAGUGUUUUGUCUGCCAGUACAGUAGGUAGUGAGGGUGAGUGAGGGCAGGAGGUAGUGUUUUGUCUGUCAGUACAGUAGGUAGUGAGGGUGAGUGAGGGCAGAAGGUAGUGUUUUGUCUGUCAGUACAGUAGGUAGUGAGGGUGAGUGAGGGCAGGAGGUAGUGUUUUGUCUGUCAGUACAGUAGGUAAUGAGGGUGAGUGAGGGCAGGAGGUAGUGCUUUGUCUGUCAGUACAGUAGGUAGUGAGGGUGAGUGAGGGCAGGAGGUAGUGCUUUGUCUGUCAGUACAGUAGGUAGUGAGGGUGAGUGAGGGCAGGAGGUAGUGCUUUGUCUGCCAGUACAGUAGGUAGUGAGGGUGAGUCUGUGUAACUCUUAGUUCUGGUCACCCUGUGCUGUAGUGGCAGAGUCUUGUAACUGAUAAUGAAAGAUAGAAAGUGUUUAUUGCUGAUCUUUGAUAUGGUGACUAUGUUCACUCUAUGCAUUUUGUAUGAUGUACAGUUGUCCACAGGUGUAGUGUUCCACCCCUUGGUGGGCUUUCUGAAUAUGUGACCAACAAUAUAUUUUUGGGUAAUAUUUGUACUUGAGAUUUGUGCUAAGUGAUAUAAUAGUUAUAAUAUCUGUAAAGAAGGUUCCACUAUGAUUCUGACAUUGCCACAUGUUCAGAAAGGCUACCAAGGGGUGGACCACUAUACCUGUGGGCAACUGUACAUUGCCAUUGCAAAUUUGUGAAUUCAUAGAGUUGGUUAUGCAGACUUUACUGUGCUGUCAUGAAUGCAAACAGAUUCUACAUCAGUAUGGGAGAAACAAAAGUAUUCCAUUAUUUCUGAAUACAUUUAUUAUAUUUUUUAGAAUUAAUUAAAUUUGUUGUGUCUCAUACAGUAUAUAUAUAUAUACAGGUGAAUCUUGUUAACAUUGGCUUACUAUUUCCUCCCAUUACUGUAACUCAGUGUUUAUUAAGGUGGAAUCACAUGAAAAUUAAGGGAUUGACUUUCCUAAUAGUAUUCAUAGUGAUAAUAGUAGUUCAGAAUACUGUACUGUAGUAGCAGUAAGAAUGAAGAGCCAUAUCUCAAAAAUUGAUCAAUGAAUUUUGCUGAAAUUAUAAGGAGUGACAGUGACCAUUAGUGCCUGAAACAUGCACUUGAAGGAACUAUCGGCUGGAUUUCUUCUCCUCCUCCUCCAUCAGUCUUAAAGAAACACCGUAUAUUGUCACUGGCUGUUUCCCUCAUAAUUAACAUAUAAAUUUCUACAAAAUUCUGAUUAAAUAUUAAAAUCAGUUUGAGCUUUGUACAACAGGUGAAUGAUCCCUCCUAACAUACAGUCAUUUUCCCAUUAUAGUCCAGUCGGGGUCAAAAGUUCGCUCCUCGUGGUGAAACCAAGUCACAGGAACGAGUCUCUGAACUUAUUUACCUUAGUGUGAUGUUUUAUCUCAGUUUGGGAGGGAGUGAACUGUAUCUCAAGGUCAGGAUGUGUAGUUCUUUAGAAACAAAACUCCUAAUUGUUGAAUGUCUCUCUGAAAAUUUUGUUUAACUAUAGAUAUAAAAAAUCUCCUUCAGUUGUAAAUCUUUCAACAUAUAAUUUUUUAUUUACUGGACUGACUUUAAUAUAUACAGUAAAACAUCCACAAUUCGUAACUCCAUCAUUUGUCAUAAUUUAGCUGUUUUCGGGACUUCCUUAACCCGAACAUUUGUAUGAGCAAAAAUCCCAUACAGUAACUAAUAACUACUGUAUAGAAAUGUUAAAAAAAAAAAAUAGUGAAGUACUUCCCCCGGACCUAAUUCUUCCACUUACAUCACAACACUAAUAAUCACCUAAUAAACAACAAAACACCUGUAGAGUGGUAUGGAUGUUCUUCAAUAUACAGUAUAUUGUAUUUAGAGUCACCAACAUGGUCUCUCAGGCACCUGGUUAAUUCAUAUAGUACUGUACUGUAUCCAGGUAUAACUACAUCCAUCUAGUACUCUGACACAGUUGAUAUAUGAAGAGUAGGUCUGAGAGGGUUGGCUGCCUGGUCAAUGGAUCUCCUUUUAUCAACCAGGUUUAUAUUCCCGUGUAGUAAUUUCCCCUUCAUGUACAAAACCACUUUCUCGAUUAAUAUCAUUUUUGUAUCGACCUGAUCUUUAGUGUAAUUACUCUCACUGUGUUAUUAUAUGUUUAUGCUUUAUUCAGUCUUUUUUUUUCUGUGAGUCGUGAAUAUCUUUUAAUAUUUCAGUUUUGUAUUUAUUUCAAGUGGUUAGUAUUACGAAAUCAAUGUAGAAUAAGUGUAUUUUUAUUAUUAUCUGUUAGUUUAUGUGAGGGGAUAUUUUUUAUGUUUUAAGGUGAGUACUAAAUCAUUCCUGUCAUCACUAAAGGCUAUUUGAUCUCCACGUUUUAGCCUCUUAGAAUAAAACAUCGGGGGUCUUGUCGUGAAUCCAGAGUUUAGCAUUUAUUACUCUCACCGGGGCGAAAGUUGUCCUUGUUCGGCACGUAUCUGAAGUUGUCAUUGAGGGGUCACACCAGGGGGUUCAAGAGAGGUACCCAUGCAGAAAACUGUCUUUGGAACAUGUGUCUGUGUAAGAUAGUCAGUUUAUUGUUUGUCUAUAGUCUCAAUAAUCUUUAGCAUGUCUACUUAAAAAAAAAUAAUCACUGACCUGGGUUGGGAAGGUAUUUGUCUUCCUUAUCCACUUUAAUUUUUAUACAGCAGAUAUAUUCAUGGAUUUAGACUUUGGUAUGGUGAUCAUUUUUAAGAGUACAAUAUGGUAGAAUCAUAUUACAAACAAGUUCUUUACUUAUGCAGACAUAUAUUUCAAACUCAGUGUUGUGCCAUAAUAAAUAUAUUUUCUGGCAGUGGUCUGAAUAAAAUUGUAAAGUUCAUGAUAUGACUCUUAACAAACAAGCAUAUUCAUUGUAUAUACAGUGUUCCUGUUAUACUGUACUGAACUGUUGCCCUGUGUAUGGUAGAUAAGGGUAUGGUAACUACAUGCAUUAAUGAUGGUAUAAUUGUUUCUCUGCUUGUAAAUUCUACCCAAAUACUGUAUACACUGUUUGAGAAGUACUGUACAUUACCACCAACAGCACCAUUAAACUAGUUCUUCUGAAACAGUGAUCAUAAACCAACCAAACCUAACCUAAAAAACACAAUUUCUCUAGGAUUGUUUGGUUAGAUUAGGUCUGUUUAUGUUAUCUCAAAUGUAAAUAAAUAGUUUAAUAGUCCUGUUUGUGGUACUUUUCCCAAAUAGUACAUCGUGGUGAAUAGUUCAUAUGAAGGAGCAUUUAUCUUUACAUACACAUGUUGUUUCGAGUUUGUCCUGCAUUAAAAUAUGACAAUAAGGAUAACAGGUAAAGUUUCCAUUCAGUUGUGUUGGAAAUCUUUCCAAUGAUACUUGAUGAACUAAAAGAGAAUGAGAUGGAUUAAUUUUGCCAUUUAAAGAGGUAACUUAACUUUGACUUCAAUUUGAAAUACUGUAAAGGUAAUGUAGAUAUAUAAAGAGAAUAAAUCACCUUUAUUCAGAAUUAGUAGAGUGAAUACAAGAGCAAAACGAAAGGUAAUUAUAUCGGUAAUAUAAAAAAGUAAUGAUGUAGAUUUGAUUAUAUUUUGACUAUAUAGACUGUGACUCUACAGUGGAUUGAUUCCUUGAUUUAACUUUCUAGCCGUUGAUUUAUCGGGUCAUUACGGUCGAAUACUCUAUAUAGGAAACCAUUUCCCGGAGGUAGAUGAUAACGUGUGAUUAUGUGCAGGUGUGUGUGUGUGUGU